ensembl:lncRNA
GAGACAAAUGUAAGUUGUUCUGUAUAAUGGUGUAAAUGUAAUUUUCUGUUCAUGGGAUGAUGUGAUUUUGUCCCAUUAUUGCUUAGGAUUUCUUUACUUAUUUUAUUCCUGUUUUCUUUGUAUUGGAUGGACUUUUGGUUUUGUUAUUUUGUUUUGUGAGCAUCUGUUUAAUUUUGGAUUCCUGUCUCCCCCUUUGAGAAAAAUGUUGUUUAUUUUUUUUAAUUCUUCAGCAUAGUUUAGUCAAAAUGCUUCCCUGGAAAACUAUUUUUAAUUCAAUUAAAUUCAAUUUUAUUUGUAUAGCGCUUUUACAAUAGACAUUGUCUCAAAGCAGCUUUACAGAAAUAUCAACAUGGUAUACAGAUAUUAAAGGUGCAAAUUUAUCCCAACUGAGCAAGCCACUGAGUGGAGACGGUGGCAAGGAAAAACUCCCUAAGAUGUUUCAAGAGGAAGAAACCUUGAGAGGAAACCGACUCAGAAGGGAAGCCAUCCUCAUCUGGCUGUGUGUCUGAGGCAGUGUGACAGGGAGGAUCCUCUGCACUGCUGCUUGGUGAAGAUCUACUGCAUGUAGUCACGUGCAUUAGCAGAAGUUACCAAGAUAAAUGGAAAUGGAGCACAGACACACCAGCACAGUAACAUUAAUAGAGGGAUGCUUAGAGCAUAUUUCUAAUGCUUUGCUUUACUUGCUUUUAUUGAAAUGUUUCAUAAAGCGUGUUGCAUAAAAUGCAAGAAAGCAAGAAAGAACAGGGUACAUUCUCUAAGUCUGCAAUACCCCCUUAGUAAAAUCUAAGUCUAAAAUAUUUAUGAAAAUAUACCAAAUAUAUAUGAUUAAUGAAAAAAGAAAAUCAAUUAUGCAAUUUUGAUGAAGUGCUGGCAGUGUGGCAGUCAAUAAAGGGGGACACUACAAUAUUGAGCCUUUUCCUGUCUUUCACCACAGACCUGCAAAGCACAUUUAGAGAAGCGGAUGUUUUAUAGCGCUAAACCGCUAACUUACUGACACAUUUUAGCAGUGUUAGAGCUGUGGUAAAAUGGCAGCAAAACACUGUAGACAUUCUGAAAAUAGUUCUGAGCAGAUAUACAGUAUAUAUGGUGUUGCUCAUGGAUGGUCAUUUUACGGCUAUAUCCACCAACCGUGUGCAAACAAAUGCAAUUGAACUGCUACAGUGGAAAUAAAAUGUAGAGCUUUCGAUGUGUAAUAUUAAAAUAGAUAAGUAAUGAAGAAAUAUAAACUGACAAGAUGAUACAUAUAAAUGUAAAAAAUAAAAAAAUAUCAGGACAUGGCAAAGGAAUAGUAUAGAUCAACAGUUAAUCCCAAUAAUUCUCUACAUUUUUGCAUAAAUAUGACCUAAAACAACAUCAGAUUUUCACACAGAAGUCCUAAAAGUAGAUAGAAAGAUGGCUAGUGUAUGCUGUUCACAUGUUUGAACAAAUGAGACAAAAUAUUAUACUUGGUCAUUUAUUUGUUGAGGGAAAUAAUUCAAUGUUACAUAUCUGUGAAUGGCAAAAAUAUGUUAACAUUUGCUUUCAGUACCUGGUGUGACCCCCUCAUGCGGCAAUAACUGCAACUAAACAUUUCUGGUAACUUGAUCAGUCCUGCACAUCGACUUGGAGGAAUUUUAGCCCGUUCCUCAGUACAGAACAGCUUAAAUUCUGGGAUGUUGGUGGGUUUCCACACAUGAACUGCUUGCUUCAGGUCCUUCCACAACAUUUCUAUUGGAUUAAGUUCAGGACUCUGACUUUGACAUGGCCAAAACAUUAACUUUAUUCUUAUUGACCCAUUCUUUGGUAGAACGACUUGUGUGCUUAGGGUCAUUGUAUUGCUGCAUGACCUACUUUCUCUUGAGAUUCAGUUCACGGACAGAUGUCCUGACAUUUUCUUUUAGAAAUCGCUGGU